GACGAACCGUGCGAACGUUGUUCGGAAUCACUGGGCUUAAAGGGCGCGUAGGCGGGCCGUCUGGUCCGUGGUGAAAGCUUCCGGCUUAACCGGAAUAACGCCGCGGAUACCGACGGUCUGGAGGCGGGCAGGGGCGCGUGGAACUCCCGGUGGAGCGGUGAAAUGUGUUGAGAUCGGGAGGAACGCCGGCGGCGAAAGCGGCGCGCUGGGCCCGUCCUGACGCUGAGGCGCGAAAGCCAGGGGAGCGAACGGGAUUAGAUACCCCGGUAGUCCUGGCCCUAAACGAUGGGUACCGGGUAGGGGGCCGGCAUGGGCUCCCUGCCGGAGCGAAAGCGUUCAGUACCCCGCCUGGGGAGUAUGGCCGCAAGGCUGAA
rnacentral:rRNA from 1 species